ACAAUUGAAUAGGUGAGGGGUGCCCGAGCGAGAGCGAGGGCUUAAAUGGAAGGCAAGAGCGGUGCGAAUCCGCCACAGUCCCGCCUGCUGUAAUUGAGGUUUCAGCCUCAUAAGUCAGAACACCAACCCCGGUCCCGGUCGCCUC
rnacentral:ncRNA from 2 species